rnacentral:lncRNA from 1 species
UUUUUUUUUGUUUUUUUUAAUUAGCCGAGCAUAGUGGUGCACACCUAUAGUCCCAGUUAUUCAGGAGGCUGAGGCGGGAGGACCACCUGAGCUCAGCAGUGUGAGGUAGCAGUGAUGACUACGCCACUGCACUCCAGCCUGGGUGACAGAACAAGACCUUGUCUCUGCUGUUGUUGUUUAAUACAAAAAUAAUUAGAAAGCAAGCAAAGAAACAGAAAAAUGUGAUCAAAUUUAAGGGGGAAAAAGGAGUCAGUAAAACACCAACCCCAUGUUAGAACAGAUGUUAAAUUUAGCAACAAAUAUUUUAAAGCAGCUAUUUUAUACAUUCAAAGAAUUAGGAUUAUUUUCAAAACCUUAAAGGAACACAUGGUCUUUAAUGUGUGAACAGACAGGGGAUCUCAGCAGAAAAAUAGAAACUACAAAAAAAGAACAAAAAGAAAACUCUAAAAAUGAAUAACAUAAUAACCAAAGAGCAAAAUUUACUAGAUGAAAUUAAUAGCAUAUUGAAGAUGGUAGAAAAAAAAAAUCAGCAAACUUGGAAGACAGAUCAAUAGAAACUUAUCUAACCUAGGCCAGGCACAGUGGCUCAUGCUUGUAAUCCCAGCAUUUUGGGAGGCUGAGGGGGGAGGAUCACCUGAGGGUUGAGAGUCCGAGACUAGCCUGGCCAACAUGGUGAAAACCCAUCUCUACUAAAAAUACAAAAAUUAGCCAGGCGUGGUGGUGCAUACCUGUAAUCCCAGCUACUUGGGAGGCUGAGGCAUGAGAAUCCGCUUGAACCUGGGAGGUGGAGGUUGCAGUGAGCCAAGAUGGCACCACUGCACUCCAGCCUGGGCAACACAGUGAGACUCUGUCUCCAAAAAAAAGGAAAGGGAAAGGGGAAGAAAAUUGUCUAAUCUAAAGAAGAGAGAGAAAAAAGACUAAAGAAAACUGAAUAGACCCUGUGGAACAAUAUCAAGUUGUAUAAUGCAUGUAAAUAAAGUUACAGAAAAAAAAAAAAAGGGACAAAUAUCUGAAGAAACCACUGCUUAAAAUCUUUCAAAUGAUAACCAUAGCCAGGCACAGCAGAGUAAAACAGCUUAAACCAGAGAAAGAGAAAAUCUUGAAAGCAGCCAGAGAAGAAAAGACUGGUGUAUUGAGGGAAUAAAGAGAGUAAUUACCACUUACAUCUCAUCACAAAUAAUGGAAGCCAGAAGACAAUGGAACACCAUUAAAGUGCUAAAAGACAAAAAGUAUCAAUCUAGAAUUCUAUAUUCAGUGAAAAAACCUUCAAACUCAAGACUGAAUACAGACAUUUAGAAAUUAAAAAUUUUAAGAAGGAAAAAAAAAGAAGUCCUUGCCAGCAGACCUGCACAAGAAAAGCUGGAGAGUGUUAGGGGCAGAAAACUGAUACCAAAUGGAAACCAAGUUUUCAUAAAUAUUUUUUCCUUUGGAUACUUACAUUUAAAAACUGAGUUUUAAACAAAAAUAAAUUUCAGUUGUUUAAAAUACAGCUUAAAGCAAAAAUACAUGGCAGCAAUUGCACAAAGGGAUGGCGGAUAAAUCAAUCUGAUGCUCUUUAUGGCUAUUAUAUUUGGCAACUGGGGAAUGGGAAGUGGGAAGUGGAAAUUGUCAGUGUGAAGUAGGAGUUGGAACAAUAUUGACUCUAAAUAUCUGAAAAUAGGUAAAUGUGUAUAUCCCUCAAAAUGUAGAACACCUUCCAAAGUUCAUGUGAAGAAGAGCUUAUACACAGUAAUUACGAAAGAUACAAAGAAUCUUUCAUUACAAAAGAGAAACCAAAUUUCACACCAAAAGAACUACAAUUGGCCGGGCGCGGUGACUCACAUCUGUAAUCCCAGCACUUUGGGAGGCUGAGGCGGGAGAAUGGCGUAAACCCGGGAGGCGGAGUUUGCAGUGAGCUGAGAUCUGGUCACUGCACUCCAACCUGGGUGACAGAGCGAGACUCUGUCUCAAAAAAAAAAAAAAUUCAGAUUCAGAAACACAACCAUCAGAAUCUCCAGAGGAUAAGGCCUGAAUCUAUAUUUUGAACAAGGAUCCCAGGCAAUUCUGAAACAUGGCCAACUUUGGGUAUUUAGAGUAAGAAUUUGAAGCCCAAGAAGCCUGCUGAUAUUCAAGCAGCAGCUUCCUUUUACUGGACUAGUUUACUGAAGAGAACUAUAGAUUUCUGCUACGGAAAAGAGAUGUCACUUGGGACUAAAUGUGUACUUAAGUGCUCCUAAGAAACCAGUGUGCAGCAAAGUUCUAACUACUCUUCACCAGACUUUUCAUUAGAGGGGACAAAGGUGCAAUCAGGGCUGGUUAGUUUUAGGUUUCUAAUUCAUUUCAAAACUUGUCUUUCAAUAUACUACCCUUAGCAUAACUUGCCAAAAUAAUUUACUUUUUGUAUUAAUUACCUAACUCUUUGCUAAACAAAAAUAAGGAAAAAGGGUCCCCAGAAAUAUACUAAGAAAUAGCUUCAUAUAUACUAGUUGUGGCAGAGACUCCAGGCAUCAUCUUCCAUGGUAACAGUAGCCCCACACAUGAUGGCUCGACUAGCUUACACCUCCCAGGCUUCCCUGUGGCUGCGUAUGGCCAUGUGGCUAAGUUCGCAGGGAAAGAAUGUGAAAAUAAGUGCCACUUCAGGGCCUUAGGACACUGAGUGAGCAUUUCUACUCUGUCUCUGCACCUUCUACUCUGCACCUUCUACUCUGCACCUUCUGAGCUAGUGCAGAGACAACACACAAGGACUAUGCCCUAGGGUACAGCGGAGGAACAAGACGGAAAAAAAUGUGUGACUCCAAAUGACCAUGUGAGGCAGUCAGUGCCACCAACCUGGGCACUCACCCCAAGAUAAUUCCAUGUUCUCAGAGCCAUCAAAUUGCUGGAACUAUUACAGUGGCUCAACUGUUUACCGUAAUUCCCUACUCUCUACGUGAUAACUGGCACCAAUUCCUUCUCACAACUACAUCAGUUGAGGACAUUCUAAUGUGUUCACCAUACUUGAUGACAAAAUUCUGGACCCUGAAGGGCUCUCAAAGGGUCAUCUACCAAUUCUUCAAGUUUAUAAACAACGAAAGUUAAGUCUACGGAAAUUUGAAAACAUGGUAGGUAGUAAGAAUAGUGGACGCCAGGUCUCUUAACUUCCCAGUUCACUUUUUCCUCAAUAUUACGCUUCAGACUAGAUUCUAAAAUCAUAGAACAGAGAAUUACAUUUAAAAAAAAAAAAAA